AUUGAACGCUGGCGGCAGGCUUAACACAUGCAAGUCGAGCGGGGUGGUGGUGCUUGCACUAUCACUUAGCGGCGGACGGGUGAGUAAUGCUUAGGAAUCUGCCUAUUAGUGGGGGACAACAUCUCGCAAGGGAUGCUAAUACCGCAUACGUCCUACGGGAGAAAGCAGGGUAUCACUUGUGACCUUGCGCUAAUAGAUGAGCCUAAAUCGGAGUAGCUAGUUGGUGGGGUAAAGGCCUACCAAGGCGACGAUCUGUAGCGGGUCUGAGAGGAUGAUCCGCCACACUGGGACUGAGACAUGGCCCAGACUCCUACGGGAGGCAGCAGUGGGGAAUAUUGGACAAUGGGGGGAACCCUGAUCCAGCCAUGCCGCGUGUGUGAAGAAGGCCUUAUGGUUGUAAAGCACUUUAAGCGAGGAGGAGGCUCUUUUGGUUAAUACCCAAGAUGAGUGGACGUUACUCGCAGAAUAAGCACCGGCUAACUCUGUGCCAGCCGCCGCCGUAAGAC
rnacentral:rRNA from 1 species